UACGAAGGGGGCUAGCGUUGCUCGGAAUUACUGGGCGUAAAGGGCGCGUAGGCGGAUAUUUAAGUUAGAGGUGAAAGCCCAGGGCUCAACCCUGGAAUAGCCUUUAAUACUGGAUAUCUUGAGUUCGGGAGAGGUGAGUGGAACUCCGAGUGUAGAGGUGAAAUUCGUAGAUAUUCGGAAGAACACCAGAAGCGAAGGCGGCUCACUGGCCCGAGACUGACGCUGAGGCGCGAAAGCGUGGGGAGCAAACAGG
rnacentral:rRNA from 1 species